AUGGUGGGCGUGGUGGACGCCAGGGGCGCCAGGGGGAGGGCCAGCGUGUACUACCGCUACAUGGCUCCCUCACCACCCCGCCAUGGACCCAAGGGGUCAUCUGGACCAUCGUCAAGCGGGUUCUCUCUGGCUCAACAGGUUCGUACCGUGUCGUGGCAUCAGCUGGAGCUUCUCCAAGAGGCCGUCCACGACGAAAUGGAGAAGAACGCAAGGCCGCGUCAGGAGCAUGGUGCUGUCUCCCUGAUGAUCAUGCAAGGACUUGAUAAUCAGCUUGCUGCUGCCUGCUUGAAGAAGCAUGCAAGGAAUAGUUUCGCCGUGAUCGAUUUUCUCUGUUUGCAACCAUUGGUAGAGCUCAAGAAAGGAUAA
rnacentral:rRNA from 1 species